rnacentral:rRNA from 1 species
AAUGAACGUUGGCGGCGUGGAUUAGGCAUGCAAGUCGAGCGAGAACCCCGCAAGGGGGGACAGCGGCGAAAGGGACAGUAAUGUGUAGAUUAUCUGCCCUCAGGUCCGGGAUAGCUGCGGGAAACUGCAGGUAAUACCGGAUAACAUCUCCGGAUCAAAGGUGUGAUUCCGCCUGAGGAUGAGUCUGCAUCCUAUUAGCUAGUUGGUGGGGUAAUGGCCUACCAAGGCAUUGAUGGGUAGCAGGUGUGAGAGCACGACCUGCGUCAUUGGGACUGAGACACUGACCAGACACCUACGGGUGGCUGCAGUCGAGAAUCUGCGGCAAUGGGCGCAAGCCUGACCGAGCGACGCCGCGUGUGGGAUGAAGGCCUUCGGGUUGUAAACCACUGUCAGAGGGGAUGAAAUGCAGGUGGGUUCUCCCAUCUGUUUGACAUAGCCUCAGAGGAAGGACGGGCUAAGUUCGUG